UACGAAGGGGGCUAGCGUUGCUCGGAAUUACUGGGCGUAAAGCGCACGUAGGCGGAUUGUUAAGUCGGGGGUGAAAUCCUGGAGCUCAACUCCAGAACUGCCUUCGAAACUGGCGAUCUUGAGUCCGGGAGAGGUGAGUGGAACUGCGAGUGUAGAGGUGAAAUUCGUAGAUAUUCGCAAGAACACCAGUGGCGAAGGCGGCUCACUGGCCCGGUACUGACGCUGAGGCGCGAAAGCUAGGGGAGCAAACGGG
rnacentral:rRNA from 1 species